CUGGAUAUGAUGCAUAACAACUCAGCAAUGAUUGACAGUGAUAGUUGUUGUAUUCAUACUGUCUGAUCCAG
ensembl:snoRNA small nucleolar RNA SNORD41